AUGCAGCAGGAAACAGUGAAAUUCACUCCAACACCUAUCACAUCUCGUGCUUCAUCUGUUCAAUCAUUUCAGAUGUCAUCGAUGAAACAUUUCCUAUCACAUGAAAUUAAAGAAGAUCUAAUUAAUGGAAUGAGGCACAAUUUAUCAGUAAAAGUUCAGAAAUUUGAUAACAGCAACUAUGCGGACCUUGAUUCGCCAAAAUGUUUACCUAACUCUCCUGCAAAGAGUUCAAAAGUGGGCAAUACUAGUUCUAUGAAGUUGCUAAUGAACACAUCAAUUAAGAAAGAGAACAGUUCAAGUCCAACAAAAUCAUUGUUGAGAUCUGCAAAUCUGUCCAAAUCAUUGCUGGAAUCGCCCUCGAAUCAAAGCUUGUUAAACAGGAAAUAUAAAGCAGGCACUUACGAAAAACCUUGUUCACAAUCCUCUGCCCAGGGAAAAUUGCGGGGCAGAGAGUUGAAAGCCCUUCAGCAAAACUUACUGGAAGCUCGCUUGGAAAUUCUCUCAGGCUUACGUCCUAAGAGACUACGUCAGAAGUUUGAUAAUAGCAACAACAAGGAGCUUGAUUUGCAAGAACUUUCACUUAAUACCCCUGCAAAGAAUUCGAAAGUGGGAAAAACUAGGGCCAUGGAGCUACUAUCAAGCACACCAAUUAAGCAAGAGAAGAACACCAGUCCAACAAAUUCAUUGUUGAGAUCUACAAGUUCGUCUGAAUCAUUGCUGACAUUGCCCUCAAGUCAAACUUUGUUUAAUCCAAAACAUGAAGCAGAUAGAUACAAAAAAGUUUGUUCACAAUCCUCUGCCCGGAGAAAAUCGCUCAACAAAGAGUUAAAAGCCUUACAAGAAAAUUUACUGGAAGCUCGUCUGGAAAUUCUUUCAGGUUUACGACCAAUGAGGUUGCGCCAACCUGUAAAGAAGCCAAAAAGACUGUACAGUUCAAGUGGCAUGAAAGUUCAAAAGGUGGAAAGAUCAAGGCCUUUUUCAACAGUUAAGAUGUUAGUUGACUGUUUGAAGGAAAGUUCAGAUCAUGAAUGCAAUCUUGACCUUUCAAGGGUUACUAAUUUUGAGGUCAGCCGGCCAUCGGACCGAUUCAAAGUUGCAAAGAAAGAUGACAGUCGCCAGAAAAAUUGCAGUCUCAAAUCAUGUUCUGUUCUUGUGGAAGAUAUCCAAGAAAAAACAAAAUUUUUCCGUCUUCUUGGUUUACAGUUGAGCAGUACGGUCUCAAAGCGGCCUGUGUCUAAGAAGGAAAAGAUCACCAAUCUAAGCUUUUAUCAAUUUCCCAAAAGAUUUAAAAGAUGGAAACGUAAACCUAAUGGGGUAGAUUACUAUUGUUGA
rnacentral:lncRNA from 1 species